rnacentral:rRNA from 1 species
UACCAGCACCCCGAGUGGUCGGGACGAUUAUUGGGCCUAAAGCAUCCGUAGCCGGUUUUACAAGUCCUCCGUUAAAUCCAGCUGCUUAACAGAUGGGCUGCGGAGGAUACUAUAAGACUAGGAGGCAGGAGAGGCAAGCGGUACUCAGUGGGUAGGGGUAAAAUCCGUUGAUCCAUUGAAGACCACCAGUGGCGAAGGCGGCUUGCCAGAAUGCGCUCGACGGUGAGGGAUGAAAGCUGGGGGAGCAAACAGG